GCGGCGGCGCGGGCCCGGCCCGGCGCUUGCGGCUGGGAGGCGCUGUGGGGGAUGGGCGCGCGGGCGACGGCCGGGGCCAUGGCCUAGGUCGGCGGGAGCGCGCGGAGGAGGGCGCCGGCGCUGCUCCAGGCGGCCUGCGCGCUCUACGAGAGCCUGCACAUCUGGGACGACGUGUUCGGCGAGUCAGGCCUGGACAGCGGCGGGAACCCCUUCUACAGCACAUCCGCCGCCUCGCGCUCCUCCUCGGCCGCCUCCUCGGACGACGAACACGAGCGCCCCGGCCCCCCGCUGCCUCCCGACGCCCCCGAAGCGCAGGAGUCCGACGAGGACGAGGCCAGCGCGGGUUGGAGUGCCACGCUGCGGGACCGCCCGCCCCCGCGCUUCGUGGACACUGGCGGAUCACUUGCUCAGAGCAGAGAAGAGUGAGAGGACCAGUUAGCAGCGUUAAGCUGUCUGCUCUCGCUCCAGAACGCACUUGUGUGUUCUUUUUACCGACAUGGUAAUGGUCAAGCCCCUGAUAUCUGGGGGUUGCAGGCCUGCUGGCGGUUGUGGCUGCUUGAAAUCCUCCUUUACUGCCUUCUUUUUGGGAAGCACAAGUAGAGGGAGAGGAUGAAAGAGAAGCAGGAUCUGCACUGAGCAGGGAGCCAGAUGCAGGGCUGGAUCCCAGGACCCUGGACAGAUGCUGCACUGAGGGAGCCACCCAGACACCCUUUUAGACCUAGG